rnacentral:rRNA from 1 species
GAUGAACGCUGGCGGCGUGCCUAAUACAUGCAAGUCGAGCGAACAGAUGAGGAGCUUGCUCCUCUGACGUUAGCGGCGGACGGGUGAGUAACACGUGGAUAACCUACCUAUAAGACUGGGAUAACUUCGGGAAACCGGAGCUAAUACCGUAUAAUAUAUUGAACCGCAUGGUUCAAUAGUUAAAGACGGUUUUUCUUUCACUUAUAGAUUGUUCCGCGCCGCAUUAGCUAGUUGGUAAGGUAACGGCUUACCAAGGCAACGAUGCGUAGCCGACCUGAGAGGGUGAUCGGCCACACGGGAACUGAGAAACGGACCAGACAACUACGGGAGGCAGCAGUAGGGAAUAUGCCGCAAUGGGCGAAAGCAUGACGGAGCAACGCCGCGUGAGUGAUGAAGGUCUUCGGAUCGUAAAACUCUGUUAUUAGGGAAGAACAAAUGUGUAAGUAACUAUGCACGUAUUGACGGUAACUAAUCAGAAAGCCACGGCUAACUACGUG